UUGAUAGAUAGUGAAUUAUUUGGAUAGGUAUUCUUGUACUUAUUCAAAAAUAUCCACCCAUAUACUGUGGAUUGUAUUGACAGAUAGUGAAUUAUUUGGAUAGAUAUUGGACCAUGAAUCAUAUAAAAGGAAUGUUCAUAUAUUAGGAUUAACCACAAAUAUUAAAUCAUGAAUAUCAUGAAGGAAAUUUGUUCUUGAAACAUGGGAGGCAUAAAAACUUGAUUCCUAUAUUAGAAGAGAUGCAUAUUUAUCAUAAUAUGACAUAAAUUUGAAUUUGAAAUGAUCAAGAUUCAUAAUGAAUAUUCUGCCAUUGCUAAUUAUUUUUAAUCCUCCAAUGGAUCUUCACAUGAUCAAUUUGAGGAAGUCAUCUUCUUCAAUAACUUUUAUUUCAUCUAAGGGAAAGAAAACAAAUUUCUCAAGAUGAAGAUUACUUUUGUCAACCACCUGUUUUACAUUUGAUAUAAGGAUAAAUAUUAG
rnacentral:lncRNA from 1 species